GUCCUACGGGACGCAGCAGUGAGGAAUAUUGGUCAAUGGUCGGGAGACUGAACCAGCCAAGCCGCGUGAGGGAUGAAGGUACAGAGUAUCGUAAACCUCUUUUGUCAGGGAACAAAGGCGGGGACGUGUCCCCGGAUGAGUGUACCUGAAGAAAAAGCAUCGGCUAACUCCGUGCCAGCAGCCGCGGUAAUACGGAGGAUGCGAGCGUUAUCCGGAUUUAUUGGGUUUAAAGGGUGCGCAGGCGGUCUGUUAAGUUAGCGGUCAAAGCCCGGGGCUCAACCCCGGGCCGGCGUUGAAACUGGCAG
rnacentral:rRNA from 1 species